rnacentral:rRNA from 1 species
AGAGUUUNAUCCUGGCUCAGAUUGAACGCUGGCGGCAUGCCUUACACAUGCAAGUCGAACGGUAACAGGUCUUCGGAUGCUGACGAGUGGCGAACGGGUGAGUAAUACAUCGGAACGUGCCCGAGAGUGGGGGAUAACGGAGCGAAAGCUUUGCUAAUACCGCAUACGAUCUCAGGAUGAAAGCAGGGGACCGCAAGGCCUUGCGCUCACGGAGCGGCCGAUGGCAGAUUAGGUAGUUGGUGGGAUAAAAGCUUACCAAGCCGACGAUCUGUAGCUGGUCUGAGAGGACGACCAGCCACACUGGGACUGAGACACGGCCCAGACUCCUACGGGAGGCAGCAGUGGGGAAUUUUGGACAAUGGGCGCAAGCCUGAUCCAGCCAUGCCGCGUGCAGGAUGAAGGCCUUCGGGUUGUAAACUGCUUUUGUACGGAACGAAAAGACUCCUUCUAAUAAAGGGGGUCCAUGACGGUACCGUAAGAAUAAGCACCGGCUAACUACGUGCCAGCAGCCGCGGUAAUACGUAGGGUGCAAGCGUUGUUCGGAUUUAUUGGGCGUAAAGCGCGUGUAGGCGGUUUUAUAAGUCUGAUGUGAAAGCCCUGGGCUCAACCCGGGAAGUGCAUUGGAUACUGUAAGACUUGAAUACGGGAGAGGGCAGUGGAAUUCCUAGUGUAGGAGUGAAAUCCGUAGAUAUUAGGAGGAACACCGGUGGCGAAGGCGGCUGCCUGGACCGAUAUUGACGCUGAGACGCGAAAGCGUGGGUAGCAAACAGGAUUAGAUACCCUGGUAGUCC